GAUGAACGCUGGCGGCGUGCCUAAUACAUGCAAGUCGAGCGAACAGACGAGGAGCUUGCUCCUCUGACGUUAGCGGCGGACGGGUGAGUAACACGUGGAUAACCUACCUAUAAGACUGGGAUAACUUCGGGAAACCGGAGCUAAUACCGGAUAAUAUAUUGAACCGCAUGGUUCAAUAGUGAAAGACGGUUUUGCUGUCACUUAUAGAUGGAUCCGCGCCGCAUUAGCUAGUUGGUAAGGUAACGGCUUACCAAGGCAACGAUGCGUAGCCGACCUGAGAGGGUGAUCGGCCACACUGGAACUGAGACACGGUCCAGACUCCUACGGGAGGCAGCAGUAGGGAAUCUUCCGCAAUGAGCGAAAGCCUGACGGAGCAACGCCGCGUGAGUGAUGAAGGCCUUCGGAUCGUAAAACUCUGUUAUUAGGGAAGAACAAAUGUGUAAGUAACUAUGCACGUCUUGACGGUACCUAAUCAGAAAGCCACGGCUAACUACGUG
rnacentral:rRNA from 1 species